AAGGACUAACUAUAAAUUCAUCAUGCGAAACUACACAUCAGUGUAUUGGGAAGCUUGUUUGUGUCAAUGGACAAUGUCAAUGUAGCGAAAACCACAUCUGGAAUGGCACCAACUGUAAUGGAGAGAAAACUUUUAAAUCCAAAUGUAAGCAUACUAGUGAGUGUGACAAAACAUUGUUCUGUAUAUAUGGUACCUGUCAAUGUGCACAGAUAAACUACUGGAAUGGGAAUAUAUGCGUAUCUAAAAAGAAAUCUAACGAGACAUGUACAAAUUCAAACGAAUGUGGAGGAAAACUUUUGUGCGAGGAUGGAAUAUGUCAAUGUCCUAUUCAUUUAUUUUGGAGUGGAAGAAAAUGUUUACUUA